GUGGACAGGAAAAGUAAAUGCUUUUUAGUAGUUCAAACUAAAAUUCUGUCAUCCUUUACUCGCCCUCAUGUCAACUUGUUUUAGUGGAACACAGCAGAAUAUAUUUGGAAGAUUCAGUGCUCUUUCCCAUACAAUAGAAGUGUAUGGUGACCAAGAGCUGUGGUGACCAAGAGCAAAAAAAAAAAAAAAAAAAAAAAAAAAAAAAAGUGCCAUAAAUUUCCAUAAACGAAAAGGGCUCAUAUCACAAUUGCAAUUCUUGUAUGUUUUGUAACUUUGUAACCAGUGUUGGGGGUAACACAUUACAAGUAACUAAAGUAAUGGAAUCAGAUUACAUUUAAAGUAACUAGUAAUGAAUUACUUUUAAACUUACAACAAAAUAUCAGAGUUACUUUUCAAACAAGUAACGCAAGUUAUUUUGUUUUCCCAUGUAUUAACUGACAUCUCUCCUGUCAGUAUUCAAAAUGAAUAAAACUGUGAAAUGCAAUAAUUAAAUAUAUUAAAUUGAACAAAUAUACUUUGUUCUUAAUCUCACUUUAUUAACCAAUGUCUUUGCUGCUGACUUUCGAUGAUCCAAUUCAACCAGCAAAAAUGACUUUAGAUAAACUUCACAUUUGUGAUUUGUGAGCUUAUUCAUUCCACUUUUGGUGUGAAAGGGCAUUUAUAUUUGCCAAAAAUAUAAUUUUUGUUGUUGUUGUUAUUACUUUCCAUAAAAAGUAACUAAGUAACGCAAUAUUGUAAUGCAUUACUUUUAAAAGUCCCUUUGCCCAGCACAAUGUAACACAAUGCUUAUGAAAAUUAUUUAACCAAAUCUGUUCAUUAAUUAGAAGUGGGCUAUUUUACCUAACAUUGUUGUGUUGCGUUUUUAUGCUUAUCAGAUUGUUAGCCAAGAAACAUGAUAACAUCAAACUAUUGGUUUUGAAACAGAUUAUCAAAGUUUGAUGAAGAAGGCCUAAAGAGAGGCCAUAGAUUGUGCAGUGACAUUCCAUGUACAGAACUCAGAAUUUUCCCUUUCCCAUAGAUAGGGACGCACAAAACUAUUUCUAGCACGUAUUUGAAAUUGAACUACUCUAUUACAGAAGACUCUAUGCUUUUUCCAAAUACAACAGUUAACCAAAAGCUGUCAAGCUAAAAAACUGAACAGAAAUUAAAGUCAUCAUUUAUUAAAGUCUUGCAUUUAUCAAAUCUCAAUUGUGAUUCUUGUAUGUUUUUUUUCUAACACAGUGCUGCUUCCAUUGAGUGAAAAAGAACAGCAGGAACGUUAUUUAAAAGUGCUGAUUUUGUGUUCCAUGGAAGAAAGAAAGUCAUACGCGUAAGGACAAGAGGAAGCCUGGUACCGACCGGAGUCAAUCCCCGGGAGAAAAACAGCAGUUUGUGCGUGUGAGAACGCGUUUGAAUGAGCAACUCCUCCGAUGAUUGGGAGUGGCACAGGAAGCUGCCAACGGGAGCUUCCCCAGAAACAGUUGUUAGGCGAUCUCUUCGUUUCUAUAGGAGGAAAUGGGAAGUGUGGGCGUGGGCCUGCCAGAGGCCACUUCCAGUCUACUGCUUUGAGAGAUAUGGAAAAGGCAGACAGGUGUGGCUUCCUGGUUCCCCUUGGGACGAAAUUAUGGAGCGGAAGGGAGGGUGAUGCAGGGAUGAUAGAGAAAUUGUUGGAAUGAUUGAGGGGACCCUUUGGCUUUGUAUAUCUUUAUUUGAAGGUCAGCACAUCCCCCACAGAUGUCUCUCUCCCACUAUGCCCUGACCCUGGGAUCUGUGUGUGGAAUUCUCUCCUCAUUUAUCUGUGGGCUUCGUCCUCUCCCUGUAUCCUUUUAUUUUUUUUCACAUUCCUGAUCCUGGUACUGUUUACUUCUAAAUUACAUCAGUUUAACUCUCAGACAUGCACACAAUUUAUCUUUAAUGAAUAGUUCACCCAAAAUGAAAAUCAUGUCAUUCCAAACCUGUGUCUUUUUCUUCCAUGAAACAACAGGAGAUGUGAGUGAAAGCGAAAGAAUGGAUGGAUGAACCCCUUGUUCUAAUUGAAAAUGGCGCCACCUGGACCAGCAAAUCACACUGGGAAAUAAGCUGCAUAUCCAAGUGUUUAUCUACCGAUCUCAAGAGACAGACAGUGGCAGAUUUGAUAAUAAGUUAUCAAAUUAAAUGUCAUUUAAUGUGUCAGCAAAAAUUACAGCUCAAUCAAAUAACUGUGUAACUCCUUUAUGCUACAGACUGCACUCAAUGUGUUAAUGAAAUUGUAAUUAAAACAAUUUUUUAGACAUUGCUAAUUGUAGUAACCAUUUUUAAUGGUUCUUCUGCCUAAUGAUAAUGAAUGUUCAUAAUGUUGUUUUGUGAUGUCAAAACCAGCACUGUCCUCUUACCACUUUCUAAAAAAGAA